GAUUAAGCCAUGCAUGUGUAAGUAUAAAUAGUUAACUUUGAAACUGCGAAUGGCUCAUUAUAUCAGUUAUAGUUUAUUCGAUGAAGAAUACUAAUUGGAUAACCGUAGUAAUUCUAGAGCUAAUACAUGUAUAAAGUCUUGUAGACUGCAUUUAUUAGAAUGAAAACCAUAGGUUUCGGCCUAUUCGUGAGUAAUAAUAACUAAUCAUAUCGUAUGCUUAUGUAACGAUGUGUCUUCCAAGUUUCUGCCCUAUCAGCUUUCGAUGGUAGUGUAUUGGACUACCAUG
rnacentral:rRNA from 1 species